CCUACGGGUGGCAGCAGUGAGGAAUAUUGGUCAAUGGGCUUACGCCUGAACCAGCCAAGUCGCGUGAGGGAAGAAGGCUUUCGGGUUGUAAACUUCUUUUAAGAGGGAAGAGAAGAAGACGGUACCUCUUGAAUAAGCCACGGCUAACUACGUGCCAGCAGCCGCGGUAAUACGUAGGUGGCAAGCGUUGUCCGGAUUUACUGGGUGUAAAGGGCGUGCAGCCGGGCUGACAAGUCAGAUGUGAAAUCCCGCGGCUCAACCGCGGAACUGCAUUUGAAACUGUCAGUCUUGAGUACCGGAGAGGUCAUCGGAAUUCCUUGUGUAGCGGUGAAAUGCGUAGAUAUAAGGAAGAACACCAGUGGCGAAGGCGGAUGACUGGACGGCAACUGACGGUGAGGCGCGAAAGCGUGGGGAGCAAACAGGAUUAGAUACCCAUGUAGUC
rnacentral:rRNA from 1 species